GUGUGGGUCCUGUGCGACCACGCUCCGCGAACCAUGUCAGGCGGGGAACCGAGCAGCAUUAAGCGGGCAGCGAGGUGCGCCGCAGACCGCCUGCACGGU
rnacentral:SRP_RNA from 1 species